rnacentral:rRNA from 1 species
AUUGAAUGCGGAGGAAAAGAAACUAACAAGGAUUCCCCUAGUAACGGCGAGUGAAGCGGGAAGAGCUCAAAUUUGUAAUCUGGCCUUUUCAAGGUCCGAGUUGUAAUCUCGAGAAGUGUUUUCCGCGUCGGACUGCAUAAAAGUCUAUUGGAAUAUAGCGUCAUAGUGGUGAGAGCCCCGUACUUGAUGCAGAUGCCCGAUGCUUUGUGAUACACUUUCGAAGAGUCGAGUUGUUUGGGAAUGCAGCUCAAAUUGGGUGGUAAAUUCCAUCUAAAGCUAAAUAUUGGCGAGAGACCGAUAGCGAACAAGUACCGUGAGGGAAAGAUGAAAAGCACUUUGGAAAGAGAGUUAACAGUACGUGAAAUUGUUGGAAGGGAAACGCUUGAAAUCAGACUUGCUAUUCGGAAUUCAGCCGCAAGGUGUACUUUUCGAUUUGCAGGCCAGCAUCAGUUUUCGGGAGUGAAAAAGGGUAAAGAGAAGGUGGCAACCUUGGUUGUGUUAUAGCUCUUUACUGGAUUCAUUUUUGGGGACUGAGGAUCGCAAUGCGCAAGUUUGACUUGCAAACCUCUCGAGGUUUUCGCAUUUAGGAUGCUGGUGGAAUGGUUUUAAACGACCCGUCUUGAAACAACGGACCA